rnacentral:tRNA from 1 species
ACUCUUAUAAUUUAAUAUAAAAUCUAAAAUUGCAAAUUUUAAUAUACAGUAAAUUUGUUAAGAGUU